UUCUCCUGACGCCUAGCCAGUCUUUGACUUCUCUUCCCCAUGUUAGUUGGCUUGUUCCUCUACACUUUGCAAUUGAAAUAUGCCUGAUGUUCUCUGCAGUUUAGUUCAUUGAGCUAAUCCUCUUGCAGCAGGUUUGGUUCCUGAGAGAAACUCUGCAGUUAGCUGAUGAACACUUAGGAUUCAUCCCGAUGAACCAUGCAAGCCAAGAAUGAAAGAACAAAAGAAAUGAGAUUUUGCAGGAGCAAGAGAAGAUGAAAUGCAGCAAACUGGCAGCAUAAAACCAACAGGUUCCAGUGUUCUGUUAUUAAUUUGUGUACUGUCAAAACCAAGCAAAAUUAUCAAAGGAAGAUAUGCUAAAAACUCCUCAAAUCCACAGAUAUUGCUUCAUGCGAAACUUACGUGAUAACCGAGAGAUCGCAGGGAACUUCACCACUCUGAAGUCUGAACCAAGAAACCAGAUGAAGACGAG
rnacentral:lncRNA from 1 species